rnacentral:SRP_RNA from 1 species
GCCGGGCGCGGGGGCGGGCGCCUGUAAUCCCAGCUACUCGGGAGGCUGAGGCAGGAGAAUCGCUUGAACCCAGGAGGCAGAGGUUGCAGUGAGCCGAGAUAGCGCCACUGCACUCCGGCAUGGGCAAAAGAGCGAGAUUCUGUCUCAA